rnacentral:rRNA from 1 species
UGGGGAAUAUUGCACAAUGGGCGCAAGCCUGAUGCAGCCAUGCCGCGUGUGUGAAGAAGGCCUUCGGGUUGUAAAGCACUUUCAGCGAGGAGGAAGGUGGUGAACUUAAUACGUUCAUCAAUUGACGUUACUCGCAGAAGAAGCACCGGCUAACUCCGUGCCAGCAGCCGCGGUAAUACGGAGGGUGCAAGCGUUAAUCGGAAUUACUGGGCGUAAAGCGCACGCAGGCGGUUUGUUAAGUCAGAUGUGAAAUCCCCGGGCUCAACCUGGGAACUGCAUUUGAAACUGGCAAGCUAGAGUCUCGUAGAGGGGGGUAGAAUUCCAGGUGUAGCGGUGAAAUGCGUAGAGAUCUGGAGGAAUACCGGUGGCGAAGGCGGCCCCCUGGACGAAGACUGACGCUCAGGUGCGAAAAGUGUGGGGAGCAAACAGGAUUAGAUACCCUGGUAGUCCACGCUGUAAACGAUGUCGAUUUUGGAGGUUGUGCCCUUGAGGCGUGGCUUCCGGAGCUAACGCGUUAAAUCGACCGCCUGGGGAGUACGGCCGCAAGGUUAAAACUCAAAGG